rnacentral:rRNA from 1 species
UACGGAGGGUGCGAGCGUUAUUCGGAAUUACUGGGCGUAAAGCGCGUGUAGGCGGGAAGGCAAGUCUGAUGUGAAAGCCCCGGGCUUAACCUGGGAAGUGCAUUAGAAACUGCAUUUCUUGAGUGCUGGAGAGGAAGGGGGAAUUCCCGGUGUAGAGGUGACAUUGGUAGAGAUCGGGAGGCACACCAGUGGCCAAGGCGCCCUUCUGGACGGCAACUGACGCUGAGACGCGAAAGCGUGGGGAGCAAACAGG